UGCUUUCUUUGUGAUCAUCAUUUUUUUUUCUUGCAGUUUCUUUUAUUUCCAAAGGAACGCUCUGAAGUGAUGUAGCGCUUUUAGUUUGUUACUGAGCGAUAGACCGUGGAUUCAGAAAGAAAAUUAUUAUCCGUCAUCAUGGCCAACCGACAUCCUCCCAGAUUGCGAAGCCCGGGUAUUGUUUUCAAAUGGUACUACCCGCAGUGUAAUCUUUACUGACUGAAUAGCAUUAAAAUGGAAUUCCGAAAAUCAGAAAAAAAAUCAUUGAGUACAAAUUCCAAGAAUCUUCCAUGCGAUUAUGUUGUAAACCAAGCGAGGUGAAAUUACCAGUCCUCGCCGCUUCACAGCGGAGAAACGAAUGUUAAAACCCGAACAUUGGCGCCCAAGUGUUCCAGUCUGGAUUGGAAACGAAACUGUCUAAAACUGACAACCUACAAGAUAGUGUGAAAACAGACUUUAGGGAAUCCAGUUUUCUUGUCGGUAGUUAUGAUCUGGUUUGGAGGCAGACUCCGCUGUAGAAGUGGUUUUCGUAGACACGUGUGUAUGAAUUUAAUAUUAGAACUCUACUUGUGCUUAUCCAAGGCUCAACGAUCAACUAGAUUGAGGAUUCGGUUAUUGUAAUCCCGCUCAUAUCAGUUAUUGCUCAUUUAUGUUAAGUAUCUCCUACAGAAGAAGACUCUUUAUCCUUACCAUCAGUGUUUCGUUUCAAAUUAUUUGCGUUCCAUUUGAAUUACGAAACGAGAAGUCGUCGAAGUUAAGCAUCUCGCUACAAGUAUUGGAGAGUGAUACUUUGGGACGGAAUUUAAUUGUUAGAAUGAUUCCUGACGAAAUUGCUGCAACUUCGGAACUAGGUUGAACAUUAUGCUCAAUGUAUAAUGUACAACAGAUCCUCUUUAGCACGUAGCUUCGUUAAGAAUACUUUCCAAGGGAAUUGCAUGGCCAUGUUAGAAAAUGUUGCUGGCGAUAACUAAACUUUAUCAUCCUAUAAAUGCACACUUGCCUAUAAUAAAGGUAACGGUUAAUGCAAUAAAAUGAUUGUAAAUUAGCCGUCAUGUUUACAUCUUUCAAAACGCAGAUAAACAGAUAAAAGCUUAUCCUUUAAUCAGUAUAUUCGUCAUUUACAAGACAAUUAAUAGACAAGCACAGAAAAUUGCUUUUAGAUCAGGGUUUCUGCAGAGGUCCAGGAUCAGACAUUAAUUGGACUUCAUAUUAACGUUCCAACUUUAAUAACCUGAUAUUGAAAAUACGCAAAUAAUCUCAAUGGUUGGGUAUUCGCUUUAUUAAUAUUAGAAUGUCCAGCUGCUGUGAAAUCGCUUAUUUCUUCGAUAGCGCAACUGUGCAGAGAUAAGUACCAGUAACUGGCCUAUAACAGUCUUGAAUAGUGCCGAGCUAUUUCUCUGAUCCUACACCGUAAGUCCAUCAGCAGAUAAAAUGUUCGAACACAAUCAAUGGUAGUCAAAUUUGUAUAAUGAUUGCAGCAGUGACAAACAACUCAAAACUCAUGAUUUAUCAUUUUUUUUCCCCUGCGGAGACAUGUCGUUCCCAUUUGUUCACUUCAAUAAGGCGUUUCUAUGCAAGUCAUUGAAGCCAUUGUUGGAAAAAUCAGUAGCAAGACCCAGACGUGGAAGAGCACGACUCUCUGGGUUCUGUUUGGGCAAUUUACAAUGGCAAUGUAAUUAUCUAGCAGAGACACUCACAAAUGGCAAAAGUUGGAAAAUAGAUCGACCCCACUCAGAUAAGAAGGCCGGGUUGCACAGGUCUUCAGCCAGCUUCUUUUCAGUGCGGGGUUUCAGAAGACUGCCACGGCUGAUUCGGAUUCAGUACACAUAAUCAGUUUGUGUCUUAUUUCCAUUUGAAAACAGGCACAUUUGCAAUCAUGAAAGCUCUGGAUGGUGAAUGAUUCAGAAUGAAUACAGAAUAGAAAGUCGUGAUAGGCGUUGGGAACAUAUACUUAAGGUUCUAUAACUAAAAAUAUCCACAUGUCUCACUCUGCCUCCAAGACGAUAACAUAGAAACCUUUAUGAAUUUCGUCUUUUAAUACGAGUUAGUUGUAAGCUCUUGGAUACCACAUUCAACCCUACUCCUCUAAAGGCUACUUUUUUCACAUAUAUCAUUGUACCUCCACAUUGUUAGCUUCAUAGCAGUCUCCAAAUUGUUAAUAAGAACUGCAGUUCCAUUUGCCUGGUACAGUAUGUUAACUACUAGCUGAUUCGAGGUUUACUUGGAUGCGUCAGACCUUCAUUAUACCUGUUAACACAUUUCAAUUUUAAGUAAUUGGUUAACGAACUUAAAGUAGCAAUAGAUUGUAGAAUACAGAGUUUAAAAUUAAUUAAAAUAAAACGCUAUUCAUUUAUAAGACGGAAGAUUUUUUUGUUAAUUCAAUAUAAACUCGUUAGUAUUUUCAAAUUAUAUGGACAGAUUGGGCGGAAAUGCAUAUUUUAGUCUGAGGAGCAUAUUUCACAAAUCUGGAGCACCACGCUUUGUCCGGUGUACAAGAACCCUUUACACUGAAGUGUCAAUUAACAAAUAUGGUUCCUUUCCUGCAAUAAAAAACUGGACGACUUGCAUCGCAUUUUCCGUUUAUUCAGUUUAAAAGUGCUAAAGCAAAACCAAGCCUUAAAAAAAAUCCACAUUUCGCAACGUCUUGCCGUCGUAGCACAGCGGCCCAUGAUAAGUUCCUGUUCAAAUUCUAACCGAGCCUGGCGAACUUUUUAAACACAGGCAACAACAAAAAUGCGUUAUUUUAUUUUGGGGGUGGAUUAGGAAGUAUUUUUUUCUUUCGUUCUUAAAUGAAUUGGUGCCGUGAAAGUGAUUAAAUACUUUUUGCAGCUUUUUAAUACUUUCACCGUAACUGUAGCCUCUGGUUCGCCACGUAUCCGACCAUCGAGCGUGCAAGGUGCUCUAUAAUUGCUCACUUAGAUGCUGGAGAGAAGCACGACCAGCAUUUUUACCAUACAGUCGCUAUAUCAUACCAUACACUAUACCACAAUUAUUGAUAAUCUUUCUAAAAAUAUAAAUACGUUCAGAAUGUAAUGAUUGGGCGUAGUGCUUUUCUGUUUAACCGUGUUCAGCAUGCGUUUCCGCGCAAAAAUUGAUACAUUCUUUUCAUUUAUUGGAAAUGCGUUCCACCUUUUGGUAAAAUGGCAGCGUUUAUCAA